rnacentral:lncRNA from 1 species
GGGAAGGAGGCUCUGAGGAAUGGAACUUGCCCUUCCUUAGGACGUAUUUACAUUUGUAAGGUAAAUCUCUAUCUGUAAAAGGCGCCUCCCUCUCUGUACCAGGAAGAAGAAAGGAGAUGACCUUCUCUCCAAAAACUCUUAAUCAAUACCAAAGCCAGACGAACCCACAUUUGGGGAGAGGAAAUGUCCUCCUCCCCUACAGUUUUGGCAUAGUCAGCAGGAUGAAAUUUCCCUGGCUGGACAUUGCUUGCUCCUGGACUGCUGCGGCCGAGAGAUCCUGGACCCCUGACGGGAGCCGGCAAGAGGUAAGAGUUCUUACCACGUCAGUCUCCCGGAUCUCUGACUGCAGGCUCCAAUGGAAGAAAGAGUGGACACAUUGGUUAUCUUGCCAAAGCUUUGACUGCAAUGUCAUAUUUGAGAGGAACAUACAGACUCGGAUAUGACAAUACUGCCUUUGAGGAAUAAGGUUGACUUUCUGGAAAUAAGCCACUUGGAAAUACGGGCCUGGUACCUUGUUUACAAGAUUCUGGCAAUCAUACCUGAAUUGAACCUGCUCUUUUUCCUGAAGCCUUGCUAACUAAAGCUGGACAACUUGAUAGAAACUUACCAGAGAUUCCUGUCUGUUGCUGUGUAGACUGUAACCCACUCAGAAAGAUACCUGAAUGCCUGAUGACAUCAUCAGAGACAUUUCAAGCUGCUAAAGAUGCUUCACUCUGACAUCUAGAAGUCUUCUUGACUGGCUGCCUCCUGGACUCAGAAACUAGUUUAUAAUUUGCUCCAACCAUAAACCUUGUUUUUCUUUUAUUUCCAUAGAAAUACUUAUUAAAUACCUGAUUGCUUGCUUCCAAAAUACAGGCCUAACUUUGGGAGCCCACCUGCGUCGCCGCCUUCUAAAAUGACUUUAACUGGUCUGAUCUAUUAACAGGAUUAAGAAAUGUGUUCAGUGAGAUGAAACAAUCUACCACUCAGCUUCUGGACUGUGAAACUUUAAAAAGUUUCAAAGGCGGGACUGUGGGGACCUGGAAUUGGCCACCCCAAGAUAUGUCUCUUUGGCAUCAGGAUUAUUUGAGGCUGAUUGCUUUUGAUAAACUGGGACAGGGAAGGAGGCUCUGAGGAAUGGAACUUGCCCUUCCUUAGGACGUAUUUACAUUUGUAAGGUAAAUCUCUAUCUGUAAAAGGCGCCUCCCUCUCUGUACCAGGAAGAAGAAAGGAGAUGACCUUCUCUCCAAAAACUCUUAAUCAACACCAAAGGCAAGGACUUAAAUCUGCAUUUUAUUGUGCUAGUCUGGUAACCUCCUGUAACUGACUUCCCUCCUCCUCCCAACUUUGGCAUUUCUUUAAGGAUUAAGCAUCUUUCUUUAGGCUAGGAACUGAUUGCUGAGCUCACCUGUGACCACCCAGCUCAAGACAAUAGACUUGCCUCCAGCUACGCCCUCUGAGACAGCAGACCAUUACCUGCUGUGUCCAUCAAGCACUGUGCCUACAGGGCAAUCUUGUGACUAUUGUGGGAGGGACAUUUCAAUCACAUGUGAAACACCCCGUUUGGGGGUAUAUAACCACUCUGUGCACCCCAUUUCUUCAGUGCCCUUUCUUCCUUCAGGAAGAAAGGCCCCGGGCCAUGGUUCCUCAUAAAGCUUUGUUUAAUUUUCUCUUGCUAUUCUGUCUCACGUGAAUUUAAUUCAUUCUCCAG